CAUUUUAUUAUUCAUUGUUUAUUUGGGUGCUGUUGCAAAGACAUUGAUGAGUUUCCUUAAGGUUAAACUAUACAUAGACUGUAGUUGGAAAAUGAUGCAUGUAAACAUGGUCUAUAAAGAGAUGUAAUGACUGAUUGAUCUGUUUUGUUGCAGGAUUUCCUAAAGUAAAAGUAUCUCCAGAUGUCAUCAGAGAGUCCAGCUCAGUGAAGAUCAGCUGUGAGACAGAACCACGUGUUACAGUGAUUAAAUGUGAUUUCUACAUAAACAGUGAGGAGAAGAAAAUGAAAACCAGUCCAUCAUGUGAGCUCGAGCUCACUGGUGCUGAAGUGUUCAGAUGGGCAGCUGUAACAUCACCUGAAUCACUCAACAUUAUCUGUUACUACACAAUGAUAAAUGUGCAAGGCUCAUUCAUAACAUCAUCUGAUUCUGAUCCUGCCACAGUGACGGUUCUAGUUUCAACAUCAACCACCACUGAACAAACUACUACAACAGCCAUGAAAACCCGUGAGUAAUUGAGUUUGUAAAUCAGUUAUUCUUACUCCAUUCUGAAUGUCCUGAAAACGACAAUCAUUCUUUUAAGCUCAUGAGUAUUUGUCGAUCAUUUACUAUACAUACGGUACAUCACCACACAUUUCACAAUGUCUUUUCACCAGCAUUAACUGUAAUGUCCACUUCUGAGACUACAAUAUACAGUAAAACUGGUAAAUUGCUAAUAAUAGCUUUUCUGGUUAUUUUAGAUUAAAUCUGAUAAAUUAUUUCCUUCUAAAACCUGAUGGCCCUUGCAAUGUUAUUUUUUAUUAGCAGACCUCCAAACCAAGAUAAACCCGCCAAUCAGUACAGCAAAGGAAACCAUGAGUAAGUUCAUCCACUCUUUCUCAAUGGUAAAAGUCACUAUGCAGAAUUAAUGUGUUGGAUUAAAAAGUUCAAAUAUAGCUGGGAAUUAUUGGUAUAUCAGUAAUUUAUAGUGGUUGAUCCUGAAUAUAAACAGUAAACACAGAGAAUUCAACAAAGUCAAGUCUCAUGAUUAUGCUGCUUAAAAGUAGAAUGUCAGAAAAUAGUGAAGGCCAGAAUGCACUACAUGACUUUUGCCCAGAUUUUUGCCCAGAUUUACAGUCUGGAUACAUUAAUGCUAGUUGGCUAAAGUCAGAGCACAUUUGUUUCGACAGAUUUCAUAGGAAAUCAUGUAGUGUAUGAUGGCCACUUCAUUUUUUAGUUUCAGUCUGAGAAUGUCAAACAUGUUUGAUAUUUUUGAGCUGAUUUUAGAGCACAUAAACUGUGUCCCAAUUCAGAGGCUGCAUCCUUGGAAGGACACAGAAUUUAAAGUCAUGUCUUCAAAGGCUAUGGAGGUUGGCCGAGCAUUGUUAAAUGGGAUUAUCUAGCCUAGAGCCCUGAAUUUCAGCCCGGGCCCUAUGGGCCCCGUCUUUUUUACGUCCCUCGGGCCAGUUUUCACGUCAUAGUUCAGACGUGUGCUGUUUUAGGCUUCACCUUAUUUUUAUAUUUUAGACAUCCAUCAAUAAGUGAUGAAAAAAAUUGCCACGCUGGUGGAAACAACACGAGACCAUGCUACCGCGACUGUCAAGAGUGGCUCGACGGUGUUUAUUGUCCCGCCAGCAGCAGCAUGAAUGGUGCGUGACGUCAGCGCUGCUGAACAGUUCUGCGUUUAAAUGCACGCAAUAGGCUUAACCUUGCCGCAAAGCACAGACAAAAGUAAUUACCAUAAAUGUGUCAUGGGGGCAAUAGGAAGGAGAUAUUAUAAUUAUUUACUAAUAAAUAAUGUUUUCUGAGUCAGUGUUGCAAGGUUGAAGUUGCUGAUCCUGACUUGCCACCUCUUCAUUAUAUUAUGCCUUUAGAGAGAAGUGCAUCUUUAUGGAUUAAGAUUAUGAUUAUAAUAAUGUAAAAUUACUCUCUAUAAUGCUGAUAAAUUGUCUCUGCAGUUUCAACAUCAAUCACUACUGAACAAACUACUUCAACAACCAUGAAAACCCGUGAGUAAUUGAGUUUGUAAAUCAGUUAUUCUUACUCCAUUCUGAAUGUCCUGAAAACGACAAUCAAUCUUUUAAGCUCAUGAGUAUUUGUCAAGCAUUUACUAUAUUUAUGGUACAUCACCACACAUUUCACAAUGUUUUUUCAUCAGCAUUAACUGUAAUGUCCACUUCUGAGACUACAACAUACAGUAAAACUGGUAAGUUGCUAAUAAUAGCUUUUCUGGUUAUUUUAGAUUAAAUCUAAUAAAUUAUUUCCUUCUAAAAACUGAUGGCUCUUGCAAUGUUAUUUUUAUAUUACCAGACCUCCAAACCAAGAUAAACCCGCCAAUCAGUACAGCAAAGGAAACCAUGAGUAAGUUCAUCCACUCUUUCUCAAUGGUAAAAGUCACUAUGCAGAAUUAAUAAAUUGGAUUA
rnacentral:lncRNA from 12 species